GCCCAGCCCCUGGCAUUGCCAGGUUCUUAAUGCUCAGGCCGGGAUCCUGCCUUUUCGACUUAGUUGCACUGGUUUCUGUUAUUUAAGCUAGAGGUCCAGCCUCCGGGCUGCGCCCCUGCCUCACUCUGGACCACAGUUGUGUCUUUGCUCUUGCGUCUGAGUCUCACGGGCAUGGUUUACAGCCCGUGGCGGAGGCUCCGAGUCCUGCCAUCCAGGACGCCAUCCGCGCGUCUGUCAGUGGCCAGUCGUGGCUUGUGCUCUCCAAGCGCACCUCUGCGGCUCUUGUCCUUGGACUUGUCCCUGUGUCGUGAGAAUGUGCCAGCUGGUCCCCUGCCCUCUUGAUGCCCCGUGUCCUUCUCACAGGGCUUGUUUUCUUUGAUUUGUGUUUUUGCAGCCACACCUGUGGUAUACGGAGGUUCCCAGGCCAGGGGUCCAAUCGGAGCUACAGCCGCCGGCCUACACCGCAGCCACAGCCACGCAGAUCCAAGCCGCAUCUGCGACCUACACCACAGCUCACAGCCAUGCCGCAUCCUUGACCCACCACAGAGGGGACUCACCUUGUGUUUUAAUGACACUGAUUUUGCUUGUUUUUCUUGGCGUCAUUCAUUAAAAGUAAAUGUAAGUUCACUUUUAAAACUGGGGAAUUACGGAAUUCGAGUAGAGAAGUGAAACUCACUGAUAAUCUGGCUACGCAGCAAAAACCUCCGUUGGCAGGUGUUUGUAUCCGAUGUAUCAUGAAGCACCUGGGACCAUUUGAAUCCGCGUGUGUGAUGGUUUUUCCUAAAAGCAGGGUCACUUAGAUUUAUUGUAUUGCAUAUUUCUGUGUUAUGAUAAUUUCUGGAGCUGUAAGCCUGAGAAUUAAUUUGAACAGAGAAUUUAACAGGAUUGACUGUUUUCAUGUUUCCUGAUCCAGAGCUGAUAAAAUCCCCCCAUCCCUGUACUCCGCCUACCGCCAAGCCUGCUCCACUGCCGGCGAGAAGCAGCCAGAAGCCCCAGGAUCGGAGGCGGAGCACAGCUGUGCAGAGGAGCCCCUGGACCUGCUCACAGCGGCCCUGGGGGAGCUCAGGGCCUCGCUUUCGGACCCCACACAGCAGGAUGGUGAGGCUCGGGCUGCUGGCAGGGUGUCCGCAGUGGGUGUUUUGUAGGGGGGUGUCCAGCCGUGCUCACAGCUCUUGGUAGGUGCCCUGUAGGGACACGGUCAGCCUGUCUUUGCUGCAGACCAGCAGGCUGUGGAGGGCUUGGCCUCCUCCUGUCCACACAGGCUGUCCCAGCUCCUUGGCACGAGGUGGUUCUUCUGCUCAUUGGCCUCUCGGUGGGCAGGUGACAAACAGAGCGGAAGACAACUGCCACAUUUCCUAGGGAGCGGGGCUUCCACCUGCAUGCCUGGCUCUUGGUAGCACUCCCGGGCCUUGCUCGGCCCAGACCCUCACCCAGAAGAAGCUGGGUCUGGAGUUGGAUCUUCAACCGUGCACAGUGCUUGUGAGAAGAUACUAGCUGCAGUUUUAUCAGAUUUGUCUUAUGAGAAAUGCAGAAAAAAAUAAGCUGUAUUUUUACCUAGU
ensembl:lncRNA